UCAAUCAUUCCCAAACUUUGCUGUACAUUGAAAUCACCUGGGAAGCUUUUAACACUAACCCUGUGCCCAAGGUCAUACCCAAUGCUAAUGAAAUCAAAAUGUCUCAUGUUGAAAGUGAGGCAGUGACUAAAGCUCCUCAGGUGAUUUUAAUGUGCAGCAAAGUUUGAGAGCCACCGCCUAAUUUGAGUUUAGGAUGACAAACUGCUCCUAUUUGGUGGGACCUUGGGCAAGUCAGUUUUAAGGGUUGUUACCAUUAUCUGUAAAAUGAGUGUGGAUUAAAUGUCAUGUAAGGUCAUGGGUCCUUUUCACCAUGUAACAUCAAAUUCUGUGUUUCUAAAGUUAUUUCAGAGAUGAAAACUACUUGAAGUACUAUAGACAUAUCCAUCUUAAAUGUUACAGGCUUUUUAAAAAGUGCUAAUAUUGUAUAGACCUACUAUUGAAAUUCAGAUUUGCCUUCCCUCAAUUAUUUUGAGCCUCAUUCUAGAUGCUGAGGGCAAAUGGAAGCACAUAACUUAUGUAAGAGAACCUCUUGUUUUCUGAUACAAAGCAUCUGUGGAUAACUUAGGGAUACAGUAACAUAUCUGAAGAGUUGUAUCUGUUCAGAAAUAUUUCACUUCAACUAAUUGAAAGUACCUGCCAUUAAUAUUACACUGUGUAGUGUUAUACUGCUUUGUUAGCACUGCUUAUUGUAGGAUCGCUGUACCUAUUGUUGAUCUCAUGUGUACUUAUGUUUACUAAUACAUGCCGGUUCCAACCCGCAGACCCUGGCUGAAUGAUGGAUGAAGGAAUGCACUCAGACACAGGUAUCCAGUGAACGAGCGGGCUAGGAGACCAGGCCACUCACAGACACUGAGGAGGGUGCUGUAAAGAGUCAGCAGCCAUGGCCCUGACAAGCUGGCACUACUGGCAUUUAUUCAGCACAGAUUUAAUGACAAAGGCUUUGACUCAACACACUUGUGGAUAAUUAGCAUGGUCACCCUCUGGGAGACAGCAGUCCUACAUGCAAAUAAUCAAAGAUUUACAUAGAAAGACUUGUAAGUUAUGCUGAUACCAACAUUUGUCCAGCCAACUGGAAGAGGAUCAUCUCGUCAGCCAUGUCUCUUGCUGUGGAGCGAUGACCAGGAGGUUGCUGGGAGUGUGAAAAACCGCAGGCUCUCUGAGAACAUUUCAUCAGAUGACACGCUUGAGUUGGGAAACCAAUUCUCCCACUUAAUAAUGAUGUUGACGUUCCUGGCAGUCUUUAUACCAAAUGCUACUUUGACCUUUGCACGUUGGCAUACGACAGUAGCCUAUAUUUGCCAUUUUGUCUUGACAUAGUAAGAGCAUGGGAGCUGGAGGUAAGGCUAUGAAGGUACUAAGUGGGCUUUCAGUCAACACCAAUGCUAACAUCUGCGACUAGAUCAUAUUAAGAAGUGAUUAUAAAAAUGAAAAGCUUCAAAAUUAACAUAUUGAAGAGCUUAUUAACCUUUCUGCAUUCUAUUUUCUAUAUAUUUAUGGUUUAUACAAGGAUUCACAUUAUUUAAAUGUUAUAGAUAUCUCUUCUGAAACCAUAAUUCAGAUUAUUUUAAUCAAAUUUAAUUCAUUCUUAAUUGUUUUCCUUUUGAACCGCUACCCUUUCAAAUAGUCGUACAUAAGUGAUUUCUGGCAGUUGUAUUCCUGAUAUCUACAUAUAUAAUGAACUUAACAUUCUUGACUAUUUUUUAUCAUUCAGUUUGCAAAUUUAUGUCAUUUUCUACUGUAUAUACCACAGUGCAGUGAGUCCCAUGAGUUUGUUAGACAAAGUAUUAGUGCCUAAGCCAAAAGACCUGCACUUAGACUGUACAAAGUAUGCGGGUCUCAAGCACUGGAUGCAGUAAGUACAUGGGAUUCUACCGGAAAUAACUUUUAUGGGGCAAAGUAAUAUUCAUGGUUUGUGACUUUUGGUAAGUACACAGCAAAAUUACUCACAACUGACAUGGAUGAACAUUUAAAAUAGGCAUUUUUGGUGGUACCUGGGAAGUAUUUUAAAAUAAUACAUUUUGUACCAUGAUUAAUGUGCAAGUGAAGUAACACCUUUUGAUGCUUUAGUCAUUAGACUUAUUUGACGUUCCAAUGCAGUCCGGAACAUACCUGCCUCAUUAAAAUUUGCUUUGAAUAUAUAAUAACUACUACAGAUUGGGUAGAAUUUGAAUACAUUCAUAAACUAACUUUUGCAAAAGUAUACGUUCAUUUUGUUUAAGGAACAAGUGCACAGGUAACAGAUGAUACUGUUGUUAGAAGCCUGUCACAACACUGUGACAUCUUUGGGAGCCCAAUUUUUAAAUAACUUAAUAAAACAAGUUCCCCCUUUGCUCCAGCAAUCUAAUUAUAGCUCUUAAAGGAGACCACCUCAGUGAGUUGACAGAACUUGGCAGUGUAAACCUCAGCCAAAGUAGCUGUUACUGAACUAUCUAAAGGAGUCUGCAUGUGUGGCUUAUCAUCGAUGGUGAUUGUUACAGGUUGGAACCCCUUUUGAAAUUGUACCUCUUUUCUAUUCAAUUGUCUUUCUUAGGUUGUUUCAAGGUUGGAAGACAAAGACUUUUAUGGUACUGCCAACAAAAGGAAAAGGUCUUUGAGUGCUGAUGAUUUAAUGGAUCUUCAGUGCCUUAAGGCCAUCCACUCCUGAAGGAAGAAGUGAGGGGUUAUGUAACAUCUGAACCCCUCAUCAAAAAAGACAGGAAAAUAUCACCUUUCCUGCUGAAGAACUGGAAAAGUACAUUCAAAAGAAGAAACACCUAAAAUUCAAGUUAACUCAAGGACAACUAGGAUUGCACUUCAUAGAAAAGCAUGGGACCUUGUCAAUGCAGCAACACACUCUUCCACUCUUCUGUCCCUCUUAAUGUAAAAAAGAGUUAUAAAAUGUUGGGAACAGGCCCCCCAAAAUCUGGCCAUAAACUGGCCCCAAAACUGGCCAUAAACAAAAUCCCUGCAGC